GCGCGUGCGCUGAGCAGAAAGCCGGAAAGGCCGCCGCUGCCUGCUCAGGUGCCUCUUUGCAUGUCUCCUGGGGUCACUGCCGCCUCCUCGCCGGGAGGGGAAAAUGAGUGCCACGCGGGGUUUCCUAAUGCAGAGCCACGUGCAGGGUGAGCCGCAGCGCCUGUGCCUCAGGAAGCGCGGGGCUGAGGCCCCCAGGCCACGACGACCCGGACUCCUCUGCGCGUCCCGGAGCCCGAGGAGGCGCGUGACGCCCCGCGUCCCACCGGCCGCAGCGGCCCUGAGGACUUAGAAGUGAUCCAUUAGGGGAUUCAUAAGAAUCACGGUAAACAAACAGCCUGGGCGCAUCUUCACGACCUGCUGGCGGCCACUGGUUUCCGUGGUUUCAGCGCCAUUGUUACGACACAGAGUCUGGAACAAACACGGAUGAGGGUGGAGAGCUGCACCCAGGAGCCCAGGUCUGGGCCUUUCCAGAAGCCGUCAUGGGAACUGAUCAAAGAAAAUGGCAAAAAGUGGAUUGGCAAUGACAAACGCAUCUUUCCUCAAUAAAGUGCAUCUUGUAUUAAAAUUAGAGAUUCCAGCUGGG